CUAACAGCAUCAAAAUACGUUUUUAAGCCGCCACGCCUGUCGUUAACCUAAUCCAAUACAGAAAUCAGAUCGCAUUUAACAUUCCUACUGUCAGCCAUAGUUUUGCUAACGCUACAAUAUUAAAAUAGUAUAAUUUGAAGACCGACUUUUGAGAAAUUACGAGCGAAGACGCCGAGGGAGUAAAGUACUAAAAGGAUUUUGUUUUUACUAUGGAGGAACAGAUUUUAUGAUUCUGUGCCUCGUGCAUGCUUUGAAGCCGUGAAAAGAACGACACUUGGAAUAGUCCUGUUGAUGUCAAUUCCCAGAGGACAUUUCAUGCCACAAAGAUAUGCUGUUCAGGUUAUACAGCUGGAGCCCAGUUUCUCAUAGAUUAAAGCUGAUCAAGAUGUGAAACCUUGAAUCUUAUAUAUGGAACCAAUAUGUCAGAUAGCUGUCAUUUGAUGUCUGACUGAUUAUGAACCGUAGAAGAGCAUACUGACAAUAUCAGUAGAGGAUUCUUCUUUCUAUUUUGUCUAGUCCUUGGUAGCAGACUCAUCCCUUUCUCCCUUAGCCAUCUCUAGCAAUAGCCUGCUUUAUUUUCUAAAAACAAUAAAUGUAAACAAACUCAUUCUAACGCACUAGUAAAUGUUGACGAUUUCCCUG